AGCUAGUUGGUGGGGUAAAGGCCUACCAAGGCGACGAUCUCUAGCUGGUCUGAGAGGAUGAUCAGCCACACUGGGACUGAGACACGGCCCAGACUCCUACGGGAGGCAGCAGUGGGGAAUAUUGCACAAUGGACGAAAGUCUGAUGCAGCCAUGCCGCGUGUGUGAAGAAGGCCUUCGGGUUGUAAAGCACUUUCAGCGAGGAGGAAAGGUCAGUAAGUAAUAUUUGCUGGCUGUGACGUUACUCGCAGAAGAAGCACCGGCUAAUUUAGUGCCAGCAGCCGCGGUAAUACUAAAGGUGCAAGCGUUAAUCGGAAUUACUGGGCGUAAAGCGCGCGUAGGUGGUUUGUUAAGUUGGAUGUGAAAGCCCAGGGCUCAACCUUGGAACUGCAUUCAAAACUGACUCACUAGAGUA
rnacentral:rRNA from 1 species